AAUUUUUAAAAACAGAAUGUCAUUUAAUGAAAAUACUUUCUCUUAAAAAAAGGUAUAAAUGUCACCCUAUUGUUAGAUUUGGGGUUUAUGUUACUUAAUUAUAUUAAAUGUAAUUUCUAUUCAUCAAAGACAAAUCUUCUUUACCCUAUUUUUUUGAAAUAAUGCAUGUGCAGCCUAACUGCAUAUUCAUUUGGGGGAGUGCAUUCUUAGCAUACAAUUUGUAAUAAUGAAUUCAGCUUUCCUUUUAUUCUAACAGUGGUUUGAAUUUCAGGAACAAAUAGAAAGCUAGAAUUGUCCUUUCUCUAGGGACAGAGAUGGAAAGGAGGAAGACUUUGAGUUUCAUUCUUCCCACCCACUCAGCACUGUCCGAUGAAGGCAGCAGGACAAAAUGCAGCUGAACACGGCCCGCAGUUGCAUGGAGCACAGCGCUGUCCCUGGAGUUGGUUACAAAAUUCUCCUUUCAGCGGGAGAAGCGCACAGGAGGAGCGCACGGGGGCGCUGGGUGCUCCGCGCUCCUGUCCUCAACUUCAGGAAUUCAGGGCUGGGAAGAUCUAGCCGAGUCAUCACACUGGCUGCCACCCGGGAACAGCAGCCCCGCGAGCAAGGAGCACCGAGCACCCAGGACCCGGCCGCUGCAGCGCCGCGUCACGUGUCCGCCCCGGACCGCAGGUAAGGGCGCCACAGGCCGUGCCGGCUGCCGUGCCGGCUCCCGAGCCGUCCUGGAGGGAGCUCUGGUCACCCGCUGAGGGAGCUGGAUCCUAACUAAGUGUGUAACUAGCUGGUGAUG
rnacentral:lncRNA from 1 species